ensembl:lncRNA
CUUUUUAGUACUUGGCUGUCUUUUAAAUGGUAGACUUUCUGAAGCUUCAUAAAUACUAGUUGUCAAAAAUAUUGUAAAAUAAAAAUCGCAGAUUGUUGUGGUGUAACUCAACGCACACGCACACGCGCGCGCGCACACACACACACACACACACACACACACCUGGAGUUGUUUCAUUGUUAAGCUAUCAGUUUUAAUCUAUGUUUAAUGUCAAGGUUUGAGACUUCCUUUCUUUCUUUCUUUCUUUCUUUCUUUCUUUCUUUUGUAGAAUAGAUUUUUAAUAUUUUCUCCACAUCAAUUAAAAUCAUCUUCUGUCACUAAAAUAAUUUAUUUAGGAUGGAUGUGCGGAUACCAAAUAUAUCAGUGUGCAUUCUCAGUGAGCUUUUAUUUUCAAAUUUCUUCCUUCUGAGCCCUAACCGACAUGCUUAUAAGUAACAGUAGUAUAUUUAGUUUGCAUGUGUGUUUGGAUUAAUUUGGCGUUCACUUUCAACAGUCAUACAUAGAAAAUCUGCUUAACUGUGGUGCUUUCUUUUGGGAUUUUGUCUGUCUGUUAAAUGAUAGGCCUUGUGUAGCAUCAUAGAUACUACUGAGUUUCACAUAACAUCCUUUAUACAAUCUAAAAGUAACCAUGGGCGUAAUAGAACCAGGCAACAAAACGAGACUGAGAAAUGUAGCUCCUAUUCCAACUAAUCUGACACCUCCUUCACUUCCCUCUGAGAGAGAGAGAGAGAGAGAGAUAGAGAGAGAGAGAGAGAGAGAGAGAGAGAGAGAGAGAGAGACAGAGGUGUCAAUAUUACAUACAGCAAGUUUUGAAAAGAAAAUAAGGGUGAAAAAAGAAAUUUAACAUUUUUAAUGGUCCCAUUACACAGAGCAAACCGCAACCAUCUUUCAGUGUGGAUUUUCCCAGUUUUCCCUCUGUGUGUACAGACUUUUCUUUUUAUAAAAGUUAGAUUUGUGCCUUAUACUAUUUAGUUACUACUUUUUCUGUCUGUAUGGGAUGUUGGUCCUUUGGUUUAGAGCUCUAAGGUUGACUAUUUAUCAGACUAACUAUUUUAAACAAUGGAGAGACUUUUUUAUACGUUUAUCGUUGAUUGCAUUUGUUUUUGUUUUUUCCUUCCUUCCUUUGCUUUAGGCAAAUUCCCAGAAGUGGGAUCUCAGGCUCAGGGUAGUUGCCCUGUAUGAGUGUCUUGCUGCACCUUCGGUGGCAUUGAGCAGGAUUUAUUUAUUUUAUUUAUAUGAGUACACUGUCGCUGUCUUCAGACACACCAGAAGAGGGCAUCAGAUCCC